rnacentral:rRNA from 1 species
AAGACCUUGCGCUUUUGGAGCGGCCGAUGCCUGAUUAGCUAGUUGGUGGGGUAAUGGCCUACCAAAGCUUCGAUCAGUAGCUGGUCUGAGAGGACGGCCAGCCACACUGGGACUGAGACACGGCCCAGACUCCUACGGGAGGCAGCAGUGGGGAAUUUUGGACAAUGGGCGCAAGCCUGAUCCAGCCAUGCCGCGUGAGUGAAGAAGGCCUUCGGGUUGUAAAGCUCUUUCAGCCGGGAAGAAAAGGUUGCGAUUAAUAAUCGCAAUUUAUGACGGUACCGGAAGAAGAAGCACCGGCUAACUACGUGCCAGCAGCCGCGGUAAUACGUAGGGUGCGAGCGCUAAUCGGAAUUACUGGGCGUAAAGGGUGCGCAGGCGGUUUUGUAAGUCAGAUGUGAAAUCCCCGGGCUUAACCUGGGAACU